GUUAAUCCAAAAGUUUGUGUUCUUCGCCGUGUUUAUUUAGUUAAAUGAAAUUGUUGCCAACAGAGAUUGGAGUUAAACUUAUCCCAUAUCUGGUUUGAUCGUCACGAAACGGAAUGGAAGGUGUCGGAAAGAUUGAAAAGACAACGAUCGAAAAAUUCGAGAUAAGUGAUUGCAUUUAAAAUGUACAGAUCGAAAGACCUCGCAGGAAGUUCAUUGUACUUAGAAUUGGGCUGUAAGCCAAAUGGAGGCAAAAAGCUUCAGGGAUGGAGCAUCGAGCUGAGAAGUCGAAUAACGUGUCAAUGGCUUAUAUGAUCCGGUGCGUACUACUUUAUAUCCUUAUUCACAAAAAAAACUAACUAAAUUUAUAAAUUAUGAUACAAAUAUGACUUUCUAUCUGAUCGUCUUGCUCAUUUAAUCGACUUGGUUGCUAAAACCUAUUGGAUUGGCUCGUUAUUUCUUAAUUGGAUCCAGUGUCUUAUGUAAAUUUUUUAUUUAUAAUGGCUUCACCAAUUUUCUAAGGAAGAUGGACGAUAGUGCAAGUUUUUAAUAUUUUAUGGGAUUGAUUUGCUAUUUUAGGGAUCAACCGGUGCAAAGAAGAGAUCGCAUCAAUGGAUAAGAAAAAAGUGGGGAAUUUCUUAAAACAAGUUUCAAAUAAUUUGACGAACAAUCGAGGAGAUCCUGAUCAUUCUGCACAGAUUAAAGACAAAUUGCGUGUUGGUGGCGACAAUGUUGAUCCUAAGCCAUUGUUUAACGUUUGAGUUUAGAUUCUUGAAACAAGCUAAUAAGUACAAUAGUACAACUCCUUUUAAUAGACAUGUUUCAAGUAAGUGAGAACGGUUUGAGAUUAAAUUAGGUGGUAAAUACAUUUCUUGUUACCUAGCUAGUUAUUUUGGUUUCGUUGAGAUCACAUCAAUGCAUAAAAAAAGAAAGUGAAAGAUUUCUUAAAACAAGCGCAAGGUAAUUUGAUGAACAAUCGAGGGGAUCCUGACUUUUAUGAAAUCUCUAUUUGAUCGAAAAAGAUUAAAACAAAUCACGUAGUCACCAUACUGAUACUAAGCCAUUCUUUAACUUUUGGGUUUAGAUUCUUGAAACAAGUUAAACCGGUCGAGAGCUACUACAUGGUUGAACCAGUUGAGCAGUCCGAAUAUUGUUUUUGUACUCUUCUUC
rnacentral:lncRNA from 1 species